AUUUUACAGUCACAUUUUACAGUCACUGCCACUAGGUGACAGUAUUGUUUAAUCAGAUCAUAAACUCGACCAGAUUUAUUUUGGUUCCUUAGUAAAGAAAGCAAGGAUUUGAGUGGUCAGAAAAGCUAUGAUGCUAACCAAUAAACUAAAACAUUUUUACCUUAGGUUGAGUGUUUAUCUCAAGAUAAAUAAAAAUGAUAAUCUAUGAUCUAUUUAACAUGUUCAACUAACGACUAACUAUAAACAGCAUGUUUCAUGUGUCACUGGAUGAUCAUCAUUGGCAGCACAUUCACAAAGUGCUCAAUCCCUGUAGUGCAUUCCGGUGCUGCCAUGCUCAAACUGGCAGCGAUUGAGUACAAUGGAUCAUCUUCCUGCGACUCUUACUGGACAAUUAAUACGCCCUGCCCUUCCGUGUUCUGGAUGCCCUGGUCGGCCACUUCUUGUUCUUCCGCAGUGGCACCAAAGUCUGCUCACCAUGGCGCAGCACUACAAGGCCGACCAGGCCUCAGAACAUUAGGAUGCUCUGCUGGAGCUGCUUAAAUUGCAGACACACCCCAGAUAUCUGCAGAGAUCCGUCGGGAGCUGCAGAACUCGGUCCCGUGACCUGGAAUCCGCCAUGCCUGUCAGUGGCCUUGGACUGACUGUUACUGUUACUGUAAAAAUAAAAAUUUCGACAUGUUUAAAAAAAAA